rnacentral:rRNA from 1 species
UACGUAGGGCGCAAGCGUUAUCCGGAAUUAUUGGGCGUAAAGCGUCCGUAGGUGGCUAGUCAAGUCUGCGGUCAAAGACUGGGGCUUAACCCUGGAAAGGCCGUGGAAACUGACGAGCUAGAGUGCAGUAGGGGUAGAGGGAAUUCCCGGUGUAGCGGUGAAAUGCGUAGAGCUCGGGAAGAACAUCGGUGGCGAAAGCGCUCUACUGGACUGCAACUGACACUCAGGGACGAAAGCUAGGGGAGCGAAUGGG